CAGCAGCCGCGGUAAAACGGAGGGGGCUAGCGUUGUUCGGAAUUACUGGGCGUAAAGCGCACGUAGGCGGCUUUGUAAGUUAGAGGUGAAAGCCCGGAGCUCAACUCCGGAAUUGCCUUUAAGACUGCAGAGCUAGCAGGUGAGAGAGGUGAGUGGAAUUCCGAGUGUAGAGGUGAAAUCCGUAGAUAUUCGGAAGAACACCAGUGGCGAAGGCGGCUCACUGGCUCAUACUGGACGCUGAGGUGCGAAAGCGUGGGGAGCAUACAGGAUUAGAGACCCCAGUAGUCCCUGUCUCUUAUAC
rnacentral:rRNA from 1 species